rnacentral:rRNA from 1 species
AUUGAACGCUGGCGGCAGGCCUAACACAUGCAAGUCGAGCGAGCGGCGGACGGGUGAGUAAUGUAUGGGGACUGCCCGAUAGAGGGGGAUAACUACUGGAAACGGUAGCUAAUACCGCAUACUAUCGGAUAACCCAUAUGGGAUUAGCUAGUAGGUGAGGUAAUGGCUAACCUAGGCGACGAGCCCUAGCUGGUCUGAGAGGAUGAUCAGCCACACUGGGACGAAGACACGGCCCAGACUCCUACGGGGGCAGCAGUGGGGAGUAUUGCACAAUGGGCGCAAGCCUGGUGCAGCCAUGCCGCGUGUAGGAAGAGGGCCCUAGGGUUGUAAAGUACUUUCAGUCGGGAGGCGUUACCGACAGAAGAAGCACCGGCUAACUCCGUGCCAGCCGCCGCGGUAUAC